rnacentral:tRNA from 1 species
GGGCGGAUGACGGAAUUGGCAUACGUGUUACACUCAAAAUGUAAAUUUUGUGAGUUCAAAUCUCACUCCGCCUA